GACGGAGGGGGCUAGCGUUGUUCGGAAUUACUGGGCGUAAAGAGCGUGUAGGUGGUUUAAUAAGUUGGAAGUGAAAGCCCGGGGCUUAACCUCGGAAUUGCUUUCAAAACUGUUAGACUAGAGUGUAGUAGGGGAUGAUGGAAUUCCUAGUGUAGAGGUGAAAUUCUUAGAUAUUAGGAGGAACACCGGUGGCGAAAGGGAUCAUCUGGGCUACAACUGGAACUGAGACGCGAAAGCGUGGGGAGCAAACAGG
rnacentral:rRNA from 1 species